GGUUCGCCGCUCGUGACUCUGCGAGAAGUCCAUUGAACCUUAUCAUUUAGAGGAAGGAGAAGUCGUAACAAGGUUUCCGUAGGUGAACCUGCGGAAGGAUCAUUGUCGAGACCGAAACAUAUCGAGCGAUUUAGAGAACCUGUUAAUAAGCGGCGGCGCCCGCCGUCGCACAUUUGCCGCCUCCAUCGUCGGCCUCAUAAAGGGUGCGAUGAUGAGGCGGACGAAAACUCAAACCGGCGCAGAUACGCGCCAAGGGAAUAAAAUUAGACACGGUCCUGCUCAGGAUCGGUGGCGUGGAGUGCAGUUGCACCCCACACGAUAAAAUGACUCUCGGCAAUGGAUAUCUCGGCUCUCGCAUCGAUGAAGAGCGCAGCGAAAUGCGAUACGUGGUGCGAAUUGCAGAAUCCCGCGAACCAUCGAGAAUUUGAACGCAAGUUGCGCCCGAGGCCAUCCGGCUAAGGGCACGUCCGCCUGGGCGUCAAGCGUUACGUCGCUCCGUGCUAGCCACAUUCCGCCCAUGGGGUGUGUAUGCGGGAGGGCCGGAUGUGCAGAGUGGCUCGUCGUGGUCGCCGAGCGGGCACUACGGGCUUAAGAGCGGGUGAUCGUCUCGUUGGCCACGAACAACAAGAGGUGGAUGAAAAUUGUGCCUGUGUUGUAUCGUUUCGGCAUGAGAAGAGAUUAUACCUAGCGAAUGAUCCAUCCCAAGACAUCGGCUUGGAAUGCGACCCCAGGAUGGGCGAGGCCACCCGCUGAGUUUAAGCAUAUCAAUAAGCGGAGGAGAAGAAACUUACAAGGAU
rnacentral:rRNA from 1 species